rnacentral:rRNA from 1 species
AGCGAACGCUGGCGGCAGGCCUAACACAUGCAAGUCGAACGAACUCUUCGGAUUUAGUGGCGGACGGGUGGGUAACACGUGGGAACGUUCCUUUAGGUUCGGAAUAACUCAGGGAAACUUGUGCUAAUACCGAAUGUGCCCUUCGGGGGAAAGAUUUAUCGCCUUUAGAGCGGCCCGCGUCUGAUUAGCUAGUUGGUGAGGUAAAGGCUCACCAAGGCGACGAUCAGUAGCUGGUCUGAGAGGAUGAUCAGCCACAUUGGGACUGAGACACGGCCCAAACUCCUACGGGAGGCAGCAGUGGGGAAUCUUGCGCAAUGGGCGAAAGCCUGACGCAGCCAUGCCGCGUGAAUGAUGAAGGUCUUAGGAUUGUAAAAUUCUUUCAACGGGGACGAUAAUGACGGUACCCGGAGAAGAAGCCCCGGCUAACUUCGUG